GGGAGGCGGGAAGGUGGGGUAAUUAAUAAUAUCGUUUUGGCUGAUGUAAUGUACUCAAUGAACAAUAUGGCGACCAGGAAUUUCCAUUCACUGCUUCAGAGAGAAAGUUGUCCAGUAUUUUUCUCAGUUCACAUCCAAGGCUGGAUUAUACCUGCAACAUCAGACCGACAAAGAAAGUGUCACAAUGGAGAUGGAGACAGUACAAAGGGCUCUGCUGUGGAAUAGGCGCUAUCAAACAUGCAUCUCAUGGGUUCGUCAAAGGUUGACAAGCAAGGAAGAUGGUAAAAGUGGUGAAAUGCAAAGACUGCAAAACAUAGACUCAAUUCAUUCAACAUUCAGCAUUCUUUUGAAAAUGGCCAGGUACACAUACAAGAAAGUCUGGCCCCUUGGAAGCAAAAUAUAAAGAAAUAAGGUGUGGCUCAAGGAUUUUGCACACUACUGUCUGUUGGCUUGUUUAGAAAUAAAUUGCUUGGGCAGCUACAAUAUUAACUAAUAUUAAUUAAUAUUCCACAUUCUUCUCACAAGUAUAGUAUAAUAUUGUGUUCUUUCAGAUCAUUUUCUGUACUAGUUUUAGUUGCAUGGUUGUGCACUGUUUUCUUUCUUGUAUCACGCUUGUGUGUAAAAAGCAUUUUACGUCUUUUCCCAUUGUUCUCCACUGCUGAUUAUUGAAUAAGUCACUUUUAGUCACGUGUGGGGUGGGGGUUUAACGAGGUAUUAUGCAAACAAUAAAAAUACCCACUGUUGCAGAUUACAGCUUGCAGUACUCGUGAUAAACGCUAGGG